CUCCAUGGCGGCUGUGCGCGGGAGACCUUCGGGUCUGCCGGCUUGGGAUGUUUCCGGUUCGCCAACCUGCGUACAGCUGCCACCCUA
rnacentral:antisense_RNA from 1 species